ACAGGUCCCAGAGUGGUGAACAUCUUCAAUUCUACAGAAUUGAGCUGAAAUGGCAUMCAAACGAGMGAGUCUUCUGCUGGUCGUUUUAGUUAUAUGUUUGCUCAGUGAAACAAUGCAUGUCCARGGCUCUUUUCCAGCAAUAAAUUGGGGUAAAAGAGAAGAAAAGGUACAGAUGACAAAGAACAACCUAGUUAAAAGAGURUGUGAAACAGCCAAGCUCUUAAACUGUAAAGUUCACUGCGAAAAUAACAAAAGCUGACUGAAGAUCAACCUGAAAACGGAUAAUAGAUGGCCGCCAUAUGAAAUUGUAUGGUGAAAUUUUAAAGUAAAUUGAGAUAUAAAGAGGCUCAUAAAAUUGUAGUGACAAUUUAGARAAUUGCAUUAUAAUGACCAAGAACUUAUAAUAUAAUAAUAAURAUAUAAUUAUCAAUUUUGGGUUUGCAAAUCSUUGUAAGACGAGUAUGUUUGAUAUUAAGAUAUAAUAUGAUUACUGCAAUCUCUGAAUAAAUAGUCCCCUAAACAUUAAAAAAAAACAUGAGAAAA